AGUUGCACAAUCGUACGUUCUUAGCCAUUGUCGUGAGCAAAAAGUUACCUCGUAUUAGUAAGCAGAUAGUGCAGAAAAUUGGUGGUCAUCAAGGUAAUUGCAAUAUGCGCUUCCGCAAAAUAGAAAUCAACAGGGGAUGCUUACUCCUCCUAGGCACCUGAUCCCACCUCUGGUGUGUCCAGGGGUCAGUGUUUGCCCAACUAUCUAUUUUGCAUUGCUUGUAGGAGUUAUGAGAUGGAUCACUGUUCGUUAUCUUCACCUUGCAAUGCGCAAGGAUAUGAUUGACAAAAUACCGACGAAAUGUCCACCGUGAAGGAAGCCAUCUUGGUUCUUCAAAUAAUCAAGGCUAAUCACCGUCUAGGAUUAUAUCCAGGCUACUUCACACAGAGAUUAGCUACGAUCAGAGAAAUUCAACCCAAAAAGGAAUAUUCAUUACAGUCAAAGCUAAACAUAAACAACGUCAAAGUACAUAUGGUGACAAUGUCAAUUAAUUCAUACAAAAUGGAGUUUGCUGUAAAAUAUAUACAUGUAGGUGCACAGUAUGUUGGAAACUAGAAUUCUUGAUAAAUAUUCAUAUCCUACUAGCAAACAACAGGGAAGUAAGAGACAGUGUUACCCAUUUCUAGGUAGCACACUUUCAAACGUGCAAUCUAGAGCAGAAGUGUAAGAAAUACCCUACAUCCCGUCAACCAUCUUUGGAAAAAGCUCCCAGGCAAGAAACUUGAAUCAUUGGAGGAAGUUAUUUUUUAUAUUAGGGCCUCCGUGUUAGGUACAUGUAUUCACCAACCUUGCUAAGUGAAAUCGCUUCAUCCCCACAAUCACUCUUUGUUAUUGUAAUGGACUCAUUAAACAUGUUUCCUGAUGACUUAAUCAUAAGAAAUUAUUAUAAUAUGACUACCCGGUACUCUUUUACUGCCUAUUUGACGAAAUGACUAAAACAAGUGUAUUGUAAUUUUAUAGCCAGAACGUCACACAUAUUGCAAAAAAAAAAUAAUCAAUAAAAAGGCAGGAUAAAUUACGGAUUUGAAAAUGAAUGAUUGAUUGAUUUUAUAUUGUUUAAUGUCCUUUUCGAGGAUUUUUUUUUCAUAUGGAAACGUCACCAUUGCCGAUGAAGACUGCAAAAUUUAGGUCUAUGUUCGGCGCUUACCGCCUUUGAGCAAGGAUAAAUAUUUAUCGUGUUACACCUGUUGUGACACCGGGCCUCGGUUUUUGCGGUCUCACACAAAGAAAUGCUCAAUUUAAUCGCCUCUAACUAGAUGGGGUAUUGAGAGGACUCAUUUUAACCCGGAUCCCCACGGAAAGGAAUGAUAUGAAGACGUACCCUAACACAGGGAGUUCGACGAUGCCAAUCAGGCUUUGACGCAUUUAGUUUUCUGACAUUUUGAGUAUGACGAGAAGCGCAAUCACUCGACACAAUAUUAUUUCUUAUGAAAUCAUUCUUAUGAGUAUUGAUUAAUAUAUUUCAAACCUGUGGCAUUAUCAAAGAAUUCCUUGGUAAGUUUCACGCCAUUUGUAUUAUUCUUCAUAGAUAAUAGUCCUGGACUAAAAUCCUGUUACAAAUUUACCUUUAUCAGCAUUUCGUAGAAGGUUAGGGUAAGGCUAGAAGAAUAGGUAGUCUGGGCUCUUUAAAGGACCUUGACGUCCCACAUAAGUUGUUACAUCAUGUGAAACCAAUUCCUAUUUUAUACUUAUCAAUGUCCCUCUUGAGAAUUUUUCACUCAUAUGGAGACGUCACCUAUGUCGGUGAAGGGCUGCAAAAUUUAGGCCUAUGCUCGACGCUUAUGACCUUUGAGCCUGUGGCACGGGGCCUCGGUUUUUGCGGUCUUAUCCAAAGGAAUGUCCCAUUUAGUCGCCUUUUACGACAAACAAGGAGUACUGAGGGCCUAUUCUAACCCGGGUCAUCACAGGAAAAGUGUUGAGAUGAAACAGAACCUGAUUUUAUCUUUAGAUUCCUUUUAUCAAAAGAGCCGAUUUCAAUUAACGAGCCAAAAGCAACAUAUCAACUCUUUCCCUGCCAACUGACUCCGACAUCAUCUAAAAAGGAAUGUCUUAUUCCAUAGUCUAUAGUGGUUCAUCGAAUGUACUUCUCUAACUUGAAUAUCGUAGAUAUGGUCGACAGCGAGUUAUAGAUGUACUGAUUGAAGAUGUGAAUGGAAAAGCACGUGCAAGUCAUUCUACAAAUGGUGUGGAUUCUAUUACAGACAAAGUUUGGUAUGAGUGGAACCUGAUAUGUCGGUCUGUUGAUGUAUAAUUUAUCACCUUGCUAUAUAGCAAACACAAUUGCAUUAGGUCCCAGUAUUAUAAGUCAUUUACUUGAUCUAGUGUUGUUAGCUUUGUUAUCGAAAGGAGCUAUCACUAAUCACAUCAAAUGCUUAACAAGUGGACAAUUUUGGUGAACAAUGAUAUUUCCAACAAGGGUAUGCUUAAUGAUCCUUGGCAUGGAAAAGAACUUGGAGACCUGUCUGAAAAUGACUUUCCGUUAAAAUAAAUAUAAGGUUAUACACUUAAA